rnacentral:sRNA from 1 species
GCUGGGCAUGGUGGUGCAUACCUGUAAUCCCAGCAGCUCGGGAGGCUGAGGCAGGAGGAUAAUGAGUUCAAAGCCAGCCUCAGCCAAAGUGAGGCACUAAGCAACUCAGUGAGACCCUGUCUCUA